rnacentral:rRNA from 1 species
CAGUAGCCGCGGAAUACGAAGGGUGCAAGCGUUAAUCGGAAUUACUGGGCGUAAAGCGUGCGUAGGCGGUGAGUUAAGUCUGCUGUGAAAUCCCCGGGCUCAACCUGGGAAUGGCAGUGGAUACUGGCUCGCUAGAGUGUGUCAGAGGAUGGUGGAAUUCCCGGUGUAGCGGUGAAAUGCGUAGAGAUCGGGAGGAACAUCAGUGGCGAAGGCGGCCAUCUGGGACAACACUGACGCUGAGGCACGAAAGCGUGGGGAGCAAACAGGAUUAGAUACCCCAGUAGUCCCUGUCUCUUAUACA